CAUACUUUGUUGAGCAUAUUUUUUUGAGCGGAAGAGUAUACAGUUGUGUUACUACGUACUGCGUCCAUUUGCGUCAUUGCUGACCUAGUUUGUCCAUGAGCACAGGCAGCGAGAUUUGCUGAACUAAGACACUCGUCUGGCCUGAAACUGAGGCAUUGUUGCUACUAUCGAUCUUGUAAGCAUCGAUCCCAGGCAAGACGAUGGAGGUGAAAAGUAGACUGUGGCUAUAUAAGAAGUGUCAAUUGUGUACCCAAAAAAAAUGCAAUACUAUUGCAACCUUAAUAUUUUGAAUUGAAUACUUCAUUACAUGAAUUUGAAACUAAUUAAUAUUACUAAAAAGAAAAGCACAGCAUAACUCUUGAAAAAGGAGCAACCAAAAGUUCUUUAUACUUUAUAAUGAAUACAAUAAUAAAUCCACAUUCACAGCAUAAGGAGAUCUCUGAUCAACAAACUAGUCGCCUACAGAUCGUCUACGAUAAUGACAAACUUAUCAAACCACAGAAGGUCUCUAUCAACAGCCUUCGUUAUGGAAACUUGCAAAUAGUCCUGUAUCAUGAUGCUUUUUAUCCAAUUCUUUACACAUUUCAACGUGCAGAAACUUCCUUCACAAGUUAUUUGUGUACAUUACAGCGUAAGCACUAAAUCAAAAACCAAGUAGAUGAUUACAAAAUAUGGCCCUGCCAUUUAAUAGUUUCUCUUUAAAAUUCAUUGCAGCCAUUUGGACAGUUAUCACAUGACAAACACAUUUCGCUAUCGCCUCCAUAUCACCAUCGUCUCAAUAGUCCUGGUCCUGUUCAUAUUCAUUGUUUCCUAUCCUUUUAGUCAAAGUCAACUGCAUUAUUGUUGCAAGCCACUUCCGGUACUGUUUCGGGUCAUUACGGGAUCAAAUGUAGAGACACUUGUUAAAAAACAUCGGAAGUUGAAGGUGCACGUGUAUAGUCAGGAAUUUCAGAGUUUAAGCCUCCAUGUUCGUGGAUAUGCGUUAGUGUUUCAUCAUCAAGUUAGUGUUUCAUCAUCAGGCUAGUGUUUCAUCAUCAAGUUAGUGUUUCAUCAUCAAGUUAGUGUUUCAUCAUCAGGCUAGUGUUUCAUCAUCAAGUUAGUGUUUCAUCAUCAGGCUAGUGUUUCAUCAUCAAGCUAGUGCUUCAUCAUCAGGCUAGUGUUUCAUCAUCAGGCUAGUGUUUCAUCAUCAGGCUAGUGUUUCAUCAUCAAGUUAGUGUUUCAUCAUCAGGCUAGUGUUUCAUCAUCAAGUUAGUGUUUCAUCAUCAGGCUAGUGUUUCAUCAUCAAGUUAGUGCUUCAUCAUCAGGCUAGUGUUUCAUCAUCAGGCUAGUGUUUCAUCAUCAAGUUAGUGUUUCAUCAUCAGGCUAGUGUUUCAUCAUCAAGUUAGUGUUUCAUCAUCAGGCUAGUGUUUCAUCAUCAAGUUAGUGUUUCAUCAUCAGGUUAGUCGUCAGUUAACGUGGCUGGAGUAAAUGACAAUGAGAAUGUUCCUUCGUGACAAUAUCAUCAUAAUGUUCAAUAAUGUUCGUGAAUUGUUUGUGUCUAACUGGCGAAGAACAUAUUAGAUCUAGUGAUUGCAUUUCUUGGCAGUGUAUUCCAGCAAUCAUUUUUUGGCUCAUCAUUUCUCUAUUUUUCUUCUCUUUCUUUACGCUUCUUUUUUCGAUUCAUGUUUUUGGUCGUAUGCUUUCAAGUGUUUAAGAUUUUAAAUCGAUUAGUGAAUGACUUCUUGGCGGGAAAUCCUGGGAUCUUGCGUCGAACCGAACAACCCCAAAAAAUAAUCCCCAUGUGACUAUUUCUUACUGGAUACGCAAUCAGAGACUAUAUCGUUAAAGUUGGAACUAUAACUACUGCAAUGUUUCUCAAACUUUUUCCUUAAUGGAACACUUCGCACAUUCUGAGUAUUUAACUGAGCACUUUGCAAAUUUUUUUAGAAAGAUCGAUUGACGUGGCUGUCUUCUAGUUAAUUAUUUCAGUAGUUUGUGGUAAUAUGCCAAUUGUGGUAAUAUGCCAAUUACCGAAACGACAGUCACUUUGCGAGUCAAGAUAUACUACUGAGGUUCUUCGGAUCGCCGUUGAUGUGGAGAGGUGACAGAGGAGUCAAUGGCUGAAUGGUCAGUUUUCAUUGG